UACGUAGGCGGCGAGCGUUGUUCGGAGUUACUGGGCGUAAAGGGUGUGUAGGCGGUUGUUUAAGUUUGGUGUGAAAUCUCCCGGCUCAACUGGGAGGGUGCGCCGAAUACUGAAUGACUAGAGUGCGGGAGAGGAAAGUGGAAUUCCUGGUGUAGCGGUGAAAUGCGUAGAUAUCAGGAGGAACACCGGUGGUGUAGACGGCUUUCUGGACCGUAACUGACGCUGAGACACGAAAGCGUGGGUAGCAAACAGG
rnacentral:rRNA from 1 species